GAUGAACGCUGGCGGUAUGCUUAACACAUGCAAGUCGAACGGACUCUUCGGAGUUAGUGGCGGACGGGUGCGUACCGCGUGAGAAUCUGGCUUUGGGUUCGGUACAACUACUGGAAAGGGUGGCUAAUACCGGAUGUGCUGAGAGGUAAAAGAGAAAUUGCCUGAAGAUUAGCUCGCGUCUGGUUAGGUAGUUUGUGAGGUAAAGGCACACCAAGGAAGCGAUGAGUAGCGGGUCUGAGAGGAUGAGCAGCCACACGGGGACUGAGACACCGCCCAGACGCCUGCGAGGGGCAGCAGGGGUGAAUUGUACGCAAGGCGCGAAAGACUGACGGAGAAGUACCGCGUGGGGGAAGAAGGCUCGUGUGGUGUAAACCUCUUGUCUUAGAGGAGAACAGAAUGACGGUACCUAAGGAAUAAGCAUCGGCUAACUCCGUG
rnacentral:rRNA from 1 species